rnacentral:rRNA from 1 species
CCUACGGGUGGCAGCAGUGGGGAAUAUUGCGCAAUGGGCGAAAGCCUGACGCAGCGACGCCGCGUGAGGGAUGAAGGUCUUCGGAUCGUAAACCUCUGUCAGCAGGGAAGAACGGUCACUGUGCUAAUCAGCAGUGAAUUGACGGUACCUGCAAAGGAAGCACCGGCUAACUCCGUGCCAGCAGCCUCGUUAAUACGGGGGGUGCGAGCGUUAAUCGGAAUUAAUGGGCGUAAAGCGCUCGUAGGCGGUAUGGCAAGUCAAGGGGGAAAUCCCCGCGCUCAACGUGGGAACUGCCUUUGAAACUGGCAAACUGGAGUGUGUGAGAGGAUAGUGGAAUUCCAGGUGUAGGAGUGAAAUCCGUAGAUAUCUGGAGGAACAUCAGUGGCGAAGGCGACUAUCUGGCACAUAACUGACGCUGAGGAGCGAAAGCGUGGGUAGCAAACAGGAUUAGAUACCCGGGUAGUC